CUCCUUCCCCUGUCCCAAAGGCAUACGGCCAGAGCUUCUCUUCUAGCUCGGCACGUCAUCCAUUCCGCCGGUGAAGUCGCUGUUCGAGGCUUCCAGCUGCUGCGCCGUCGUCUCGCCGUUGAUGUCCUGCUGUGGUGGAAGCCUCUUAGCAUCUUAUGCCACUCAUUUCGGGACAGAGACAAAUUUACGACUAGAUUUUCUCAUGGUGAUGGUCAAGGCAAUGCAAAUUUAUUCAAACUAGUUAAGCAUUACUUGCUUAGUCCAGUAUGUAUGCUCUCUGGUUCCUAGAGUAAAGAUUUUGCGAAUUCAUGAAUAUCAUAAUGUUUCUUGGAGACAAAUCCACGGGAGGAGCAUUGUAUAAUCUCAUGUUAACAACAGAGACAAAAAUUCACCUCACUACACUAUAUAAUCAUGCAUCCAAGCUCAUAUCUAUUUCCAGUUAAUUUGUAGUUUUGUACUAUAAGUGAUUUGUACAUAUCAUAGUAAAAUAAAAAAUAACAUUGGUUACAAUUGUUUAUUGAAAAUGUGCAAACUUAAGUCAUGAAAGUUGUUUGUAUAAUGUGAGAUCUCAAUGAAUAAGUAGCUUUACAUUGUAUUCAAUGAUUAUUUGAACCUUCAAUGUUGUCUUCUUAUCUAUUUUUAUGCUAUUAAUUCAUCUCUACAUGUUGCUUGACGUAUACUAAAAUCGAUCAAAAGGCAUUAUUGUAUCAUGUCUUACCUAUUUGUCAAGUAUAUUAGUAUAUUUUGUAAUAUUAAUGUAUUUAUGUGAUUAAUUCCUAUUAUUUGUAAUAUUAAGGAGAUGGAUUCACCAUUAGUAUUACAAGGUUUGUUCAAUUUGUUUGAUCUUUUUUAAUUCUUUACAUUAGGAAAGAGAUGAAAGAGAUAUUGUUGGCUGAAUGACAUAGUUGUUAUGAGACAAAACAUAGGUUGAGUUAUAUUUUAGGAUGUUUAUUUAUAAUUUAUUUAUUAUUUUAUUCUAAAACGAUUUUUUCGGUUGAAUUACGGUUGGAUCGGUUGGACCAGUGAACCAGUGACUAGAGCGGUUUAAUGACCGGUCCGGUUCUCA